GUUUUUUGACCAUAAAAAUAAUGUUUAAGUCAUUAUCACUGACAUGAGAUUUUAACUAAUAUGACUGCAUCUGACAGCAACAAAAAAAGAACCGACCUGUUGGAGAAGGGAUAGACUUUAGUUGUCCUUUCCGGAAGCGCGACAACAUGGGCAUGAUGGGAAAUGUAGUUUUUCCAAGAAAACCCGCAAACUGCCUUUAAUCAGCUUUCUCUUGCAGGAUCAAAUAUGGGUUGAAACUCAGUUUUUCGACAAAAGUAAAAAGACGGAACCAGACAUGGAUUUCCAAGCAGAAAUUAAAGGAUCAGUAUCACUGCUUUAAAUCCGUGAAAUUGUAGAGUCAGCAUAUCCAGCAGCUGUGCUGAACGACAGCGAAGCAUCAACACGCUGGUGAACAAGAUGAGUCACAUCUGGAUGGGAGGAAGGAGGAGAAAAAAAGGUGGAGGGAGAGAAAAGUGAAGGGUUACUGUUGGUGAGAGUGAGCCUCACUCCUCAGAGGUUUUUUAAAACAUGGACAAUGAACAUCAGGAAUGAGACUGACCACAAACAACACUUUUAUUUAUCUGGUGAGUACACUUCUGUCAUUUUUUAAAGUGCUGCAAUUAAAAUGACUGACAGGCACACACACCUCCUUUCUUUAUUGGUCUUCUAGAGAUACUUAAUAUUGCAGUUUGAAGGUAUAUCUCUAUGGUGUGGUAUGAAACCUGUACAUUGAGUGUGGUGCUUUUUAUGCAACCUGAUUUUAUUGUUAGACAAGAGAACUUUUUGUCCUGCUACACUGAAAAAAAUAUCUGUUCUAAACUUUUGCAUUUUUACUCUAAAACAAGUAAGAGAUCUGAAAAUACAUCAUGCAUCAGAUUGUUUUACCUGAUUUUGAUUAAAUGCACUAUUAUUCUUGGAUUAAAGGGAUUUUGUACGUUUUGUUCUACACUGUGGCACACAAGUGAAGACUUUUAUUUUCCACUUUUCCAACAUUUUGAAACAUUUCCUUCCUGAAAUAUCCUCGAAACACGUUAACUCCGUUACAUAUCAAAGGAAAUGUUACACACCUUUUAUUUUGUGAUUUGAAUUCAGUCCUGGAAAACUUUUAACUCCCUCAUGCCGGUGAGGAAUUUUUUGCAGUGUGAUGACUUAACGUGGUUUGGUUUGUACCCCCAACCCCCAUAUGCAGCACACAUACACUAACACUUAUAACACACAGUUACGUGUGUUAUAAGGGGGAAAUAGAAGUUGUGCAGCUAGUGACAAGUUGCAACAUAUGUCAAAAUGAUAAGGUGGUCUUAUUCCUCACUGCUGUUUUACAGAAACCUAUAUUUAGUGUCAUGAACUUCACAAAUUCUGAAAAAAAAACUGAACAUUUGGCAUAAAAUCACACCAAAGUUCAUUUCUGAUGGCAAAAAUCUGAAGAAAGUUUGACACAGGGACCAUAAAUGCACCAAUACUGUAGAAGAUCUGACAUGUGAACACAGUAAAUAGUGAUUUAGUGAACCUUGAGUGUAUUACAGAUUGUACAAAUGCAGGCCAGACACAAACUGUUAGGCUGUCCUGCCUCCUGGAAAGGAGUGUAUCUGUUGCUAAUGAGCUCCAGAUGUUUUGGGCCGCUCUAAACAGUGACAAACAAACCAGAAACAAAUGCACGACACAAGCGGAACGUCCUGUUUUAUUUCUGCUCAGUGCUGAAGUUUGAUAAGGGUCUGUUUCUGAGGGAAGCAUUAAAACUUUACAAGUAGAAACACUUCUGUAAGUGUAAUGUUUUAUUGAUUUGGGAGUGCUGAGGUUUCUGUUUGAACCAAGUGCACAGAUAAUGAGGUCAAUGACGGCCUCAGUGAUCCUGCUGGGAGUUGAUUGAGAUGAUGAGCAGAGGUGUGUUUGCUUUGAGUCAAUGACUGUCUAAGCAUUCUUAUUACUGCAGUUAUCUAAAAGUCUUCAAGGCCGAGAAAAAGCAACUAAAAUAUCCUCGAUGAAGCUCUGGCUCAAGAGGAGAAGGAAAUGGUGGACGUUUUUUUGUUUGUUGACAAAAUAGAGCCACAUGUGUCGUCCAGCGUCUCCUGGCUUCAGGCCUCACAGAUGUAGCAGCAGGUCGGGGCACAAAGGCUGACUGUAAAUGCCAUGAACGUCAGAAAAUGCAGGGGGGAGAAAAGUCACAACGUUUAUUAAACCGUCAACAUCUUAAUUGAUCGAAUUUCUCUUUAAGCCGGGGUAAUAAAAUUUAACGACCCUGUCUUAAUAACUCUCUCUCACAAGCAUCCAUUUAGAGACCCAGAUGGGCUGAUUGUUUCUCUGUUUACUGACACUUCAUUUUAUCUUAAGAUAUUCUGUCUUAAUAUUUCAAAUGGAAACUGUUUAUAGCUUUUAAAAGAUUCCUGAUGUAAAUAAAAACACUUAAGAGAGGCUAAGCCACUUCAUCAAAUCAUCAUCUCCAUGACGGACUGAAGCAUUUUACAUUUUACACAUUUGUAAUCUUGCUAUAAAGAUCAUAAAUGUGUUUUAUGUGGACUUUAGAUGAAGCACAACUGCAGACCAAAUGAUGAAACAUUUCUUCAUUACAUGCAACAAGCAGACAUUCUCCUCUGACACCGAACUCAGGAUGUGACGCACAAAUGCUGUGAUCUCCAGAAUGAUUGCAUCCCAUGGUGUGAGCUGUUGAAUUAAUUAUCUCAAGACACUGCUCAAAGAGCAGGUGAUGCUGUGAGCAGCAAGACCUUACUCAUUGCUAUAUUACAAAGACGAGUGUUGUAGUACUCGGUAUUGGUCUCAAGACCCCUUUUUGAAAGUCUCAGUCUCGUCUCGGAAUCUAAAGCAUUUUUACUCGAUGUUGUCUCGGUCUCAGACUGGGCAGAGAUAACUCCAUGUUAUCUAUGUCUUCUUUUCAGUCGCUACUACUAUAAUGUCACAUUAUUACUAUCUGACAGAAUAGUGUUGUAGUCAAGACCACACUAACUGAGACCAGAGUGCUCCAAGACUGAGACAAGACCAAGACGUUUAGGGAUCGAGACUUAGUUAAGACCAAGACCAAAAAAGAUCAUAAAUAUCUCUGAAAAAUCAUCAUCUUGUGUGCAGGGGUUGUGUCACUUAAUUAGACCGUAACACCGGGAAGUUUGGGGUCAUAACCGGGGGAUAAAAAUCUAACUAAAAAUUAAUUUAAUAUAUUUGUUCUUUCAGAAAGAGGCGUUUUCCUUCUAAUCACAGUAAUGACCUGGAAAAAUAGCCGAUCAGUGGAGGUCUUGACCGGUCUUGAUCGAGUAAAAAUGCUUUAGAUUCCCGAGAUGAAGACUGUGACCUUCUGAAAGUGGUCUUGAGACAAGACCGAUUUCGAGUACUACAACACUAUGUCAGAUGGUUGCAUACAUUUGUGUGACUUGAAACUUGCAAACUGGUAAUCGGCUGUCAAACAGCAUGUUGGUGUCACAGCCUGAACGUGAGGUUAGAC